rnacentral:rRNA from 1 species
UACGAAGGGUGCAAGCGUUGUUCGGAAUUACUGGGCGUAAAGGGUGUGUAGGCGGUUUAGUAAGAUAGCGGUGAAAUGCCGGGGCUUAACCUCGGAACUGCCGUUAUAACUAUUGAACUAGAAUGACAGAGAGGAUAUUGGAAUACCCAGUGUAGAGGUGAAAUUCGUAGAUAUUGGGUAGAACACCGGUGGCGAAGGCGAGUAUCUGGCUGUAAAUUGACGCUGAGGCACGAAAGCAUGGGGAUCAAAC